AGACCUAGAUCAGCUCGCCCCCGCCCCUCCUCCCUGUCUCCCGCCCCAUCCCUUCGCCCUCCCCCCACCCCCAGAUCCCUUGGAAUCUGAGUGAGGUCUGAAUCCCGCCAGCUGCGCCCAACCAGGCGAGGGCGAAGUUUGGGGGCUCACUGGAGCAGGACCCAGAGGUGGGCAGAGCCGCCGCGGCGGGACUUACCUGUCUCCCGCUCUUGAUGAGCCGGCUGAGACGGCGCCGUGGAUAGCUGGCAGGGCAGGUCCUCUCCUUUAGUGAAAGGGGCUCGCUUGGAGAACUCCAGCACGGAAGCGAGGGCCUGGGAGCCGACAUCGGGGUCCCGGCUGGGGGACACGGCAACCCCGAGAGCUGGGGAGUCAGCCAAGCCUUGGUGAGUGGACACGAAAGAUCCCGGUGGAGCACGGUGGUUUGCAGGCUCUUCGCAAUCGCCCGGCAAACACAAUCCCACCCGAUGAGGUUUUGAUUCUUGGCGCAGAAUAAGCGCCCUCGGCGCUGGGAUUUAUGCUUCUCUCGCAGUCCCCCGAGUUCGGACUCUGCCCAGACGCUGGGAACCCUAUCCAACAGAAUGCCCCUCCUCGAAAACACCCCCAAACACCUGAUGAGUGCAGUGCUCGCCGCGCAGUCCCUAAACUCGGUACCACACGGCGCGCCCGCGUUCGGGAGCAAGGGGGAGUGCAUGCCACGGGAGCCGGGCGCCGGGGUCUGCAACCUGAUGCAGGCCCUCCACGCAGCGCCUGCGUGGACCUGCCCUGGGGCGUGGUUCCCAUCAAGACCCGGCCCAAGGCCCGCGGCCACCAUUGCGGGAUUAGCAGCUCCUUUUUUUCCUCCAUCCCACCCAUGGACCCCAAACGAAAUUUUAAUUUCGUCUGUUCUCCGUGGAAUUUAAGUCCUACUUGUCGGAGCUUUCGUAGUAACUGGGUUUGGGAAAACUUUGUGAAUAAUCUGGUUUGGCAGGGAAGGGAGGGGGAUGAAAAGUCCUCCCUCCGCUGGGCGGGGAGCGGGGUGGUUAAAGCCCCCACUCUCGGUGAGGCCCGCGAGGGGAAGGGGAAGUCUGUAGGGGCCCGCGUGCCCCGCCACACACAGGGAUUUGACUCUUGCUGAAAUGUGCAUGAGUUAUUGUCUCUUCUUUGUGAUGGAGCAGUGAAUGAGCGUGGACUGGCCGGCGGGCUGGCUCCUGCCAGCCCCGCCGCGCUCCGGGUGCUCUUACCUCCACGCUCCUGAGAGCUUUCUCAGUGAUUGGCGUCCCGGCCUCAUUUUCCAGAUCACCUGGGAGAAGUUCCCGGGAAGGGGGAGGGGGAGACCAUGGGGUCAGCGCCGCCCGGAGAUCCCGGCACCGCUCGGCAGGCGGGCUGUGCCCUACGUUCUCCGGCAGGCUAGGUCCUCAGUCACUCUCCCCGUGUCAUUGCAUUAUUUACAAAUUUCACUCCCGCUCCAGGAAAAAUCUUUUAUUGGGGUUUGACUGGGACAGUUAAAGUACACACAUAUACGAAGUCAUCAAGUUAAUUAAAAACAAUACUAUGAA